rnacentral:rRNA from 1 species
GCAGUCGAGCGAAUCGAUGGGAGCUUGCUCCCUGAGAUUAGCGGCGGACGGGUGAGUAACACGUGGGCAACCUGCCUAUAAGACUGGGAUAACUUCGGGAAACCGGAGCUAAUACCGGAUACGUUCUUUUCUCGCAUGAGAGAAGAUGGAAAGACGGUUUACGCUGUCACUUAUAGAUGGGCCCGCGGCGCAUUAGCUAGUUGGUGAGGUAAUGGCUCACCAAGGCGACGAUGCGUAGCCGACCUGAGAGGGUGAUCGGCCACACUGGGACUGAGACACGGCCCAGACUCCUACGGGAGGCAGCAGUAGGGAAUCUUCCGCAAUGGACGAAAGUCUGACGGAGCAACGCCGCGUGAACGAAGAAGGCCUUCGGGUCGUAAAGUUCUGUUGUUAGGGAAGAACAAGUACCAGAGUAACUGCUGGUACCUUGACGGUACCUAACCAGAAAGCCACGGCUAACUACGUGCCAGCAGCCGCGGUAAUACGUAGGUGGCAAGCGUUGUCCGGAAUUAUUGGGCGUAAAGCGCGCGCAGGUGGUUCCUUAAGUCUGAUGUGAAAGCCCACGGCUCAACCGUGGAGGGUCAUUGGAAACUGGGGAACUUGAGUGCAGAAGAGGAAAGUGGAAUUCCAAGUGUAGCGGUGAAAUGCGUAGAGAUUUGGAGGAACACCAGUGGCGAAGGCGACUUUCUGGUCUGUAACUGACACUGAGGCGCGAAAG